GGUACUGCUAGCUUUUGGUAGUUUUGGUUAGUACUUGUAGCAGCAGUUGAGGUGUGGAUCCUUACUUCGAAGCAAAUUUUUGGUGCUUGCAAAGCAUAUAAAUGAACUAAGGUAGCUGAAUUUACUAGCCAGAAGACAAUGUUUGGAAGCUUAGGCAGUAAAUAUUAGGCAGAAGACAAUGCGACCACAGAUAUAAUUCAUAGCGCCACUCCAUUGAUACAAUGCUGAAAUAUUAGGAAGUAAAUAUGUAUCCUCAUUGUAUGCCAAUCAAAGGAAGCAGGACAAGGGGGCUGAUAGCAUGAAACAUAAACACAAUCACAAGUGGCCUGAUGAUCAACUUCAAGGCAAAUAAUGAUAAUUUUCUUACAAGCAAAUGAUGAUCAUCAGUAGGUUUAGUUUGAGAUACCUGGUUUCAUUUGGUUUAAAGAAUUCAGACAUGAUUCCGAAUGCCGGGUUUUAUUUCUGUAGUAUUUUGCACUAAAAAUACAUGUCUUAUUUCUGGCUCUCUCUGGAGUACUCUUUGUUCAUCUGUAUUUCUUUUUGAUGCAUCUGUAUAUUCUUUUUGGUGCAUGAUGAGUAAUGAAUUUGUUUGUCUAUAUAUUUUUUUGAUGCAUGAUGAGAAACGGGAUGUGUGCUGCUGGCAGGAUUGUCGAAACCAAAGGGAAUAGGCUGUGCCAGAUCUGACCACAAAACUCAGCAGGAUGAUCAAAAGAAUGAUGAAGAGGCCUUUAGGAUAUUACUCCGGAGUAGUGCAAAUGACAUAUCUGAUGCCUGCAUCUGUCAGUGUUGAAUCGUUGUCUGUUGUUGAUCUUACCAUGGAAGAGGAAAAUCUGAAACUUGGGCUCUGUGGACUGGCGAGCCUAACGUUGCCUGAUAUGUUGAUCUGGGCAACUCUGAAGAAAAUGAUGCAGAAGUCUGUUGUUGACUAUGCUGAAAAAAUCUAGGCUAGACGUCUUAUUUAUCCAAUGCAAGGCUGGGCAGUGGAUUUCAAGAACUUGUCUCUAAAUGAGGAGGGUAUUCUGGUGUUUGA